rnacentral:rRNA from 1 species
AUACGUAGGGUGCAAGCGUUAAUCGGAAUUACUGGGCGUAAAGCGUGCGCAGACGGUUUUGUAAGACAGUGGUGAAAUCCCCGGGCUCAACCUGGGAACUGCCAUUGUGACUGCAAGGCUGGAGUGCGGCAGAGGGGGAUGGAAUUCCGCGUGUAGCAGUGAAAUGCGUAGAUAUGCGGAGGAACACCGAUGGCGAAGGCAAUCCCCUGGGCCUGCACUGACGCUCAUGCACGAAAGCGUGGGGAGCAAACAGGAUUAGAUACCCUGGUAGUCCACGCCCUAAACGAUGUCAACUGGUUGUUGGGGAUUUAUUUUCUCAGUAACGAAGCUAACGCGUGAAGUUGACCGCCUGGGGAGUACGGCCGCAAGGUUAAAACUCAAAGGAAUUGACGGGG